rnacentral:lncRNA from 1 species
AAGCUGUUUUUCUUUCUUGUAAAUACAGGUGUCGAAUGCAUCAAAAGAGCAGAAGUGCAUCUCCAAAAAUUGAAUGAAUCUGUGCCGUUCCUUGUCAAUUUCGUGCUGCCUACAGUAACACUAUAACUGAAAACAGCAAUGAUGUCACUGGAAGUGCUCUGUUAUGACAAAGAACAACAGUAACAGUCAGAGGUGGCUCCUAAGAGAAUUCACAAUCCACUCGAAGUCCUCCAUGGGCUCAUCCUUUGAUUUGAAGAAGGAAUGAAAUAUUCUUUGCAUGAGAGAGGAGAGAUGGGAAGUGAUACCUAAGGAUGGUCAGUUCCUCUAAAGAUAGAUACAUGACAGGGUGAACACUGAUAUAUUUCUUAGGUUGUCUGUAACUAGCUCUGGGGGCCCAAAGAUGUAGUGAUGGCUGUGAAGGACAUUCCUUAACUGUCACACUUGUUGCAAUGAGUGGAAGGUGGCAUUUGUUUGGAAAUCCCUCCCCAGCCUUUGUUCCCAGAACCCAGCAUUCAUUUCCCUGUGCCUACAUACGUAGUUCCUUAGAUAAACACUACUACUGCAACAAAUCAUGGAGUGCCAGGCCUUACCAGAUGGUCACAUAGAAUUAAAAAUAUAUGCAAGAAAAUAAGUUCUAAAGUAAAAAUGUAUCAAGAUAUAACUCUCACUAAUUCCUAAAAUUGCCUGCUAUUAUAUCCAUGCUGCUACAGUCUUUAUCCACUCGAAUUUUUGUUUCUAUCAUCCUUCUUUGAAAUCCUCUGUACUUCUCUAGUCAUGAAAUCCUGCCAUUUAUUAAGGACAAGCUGAAGUCUCACCACCUUCAUCAACUCCUUCCUCACUAUCCAUGCCUAGUGAGAUAACCUUUCUGAAAUCCCACUGUCUUUUGUCUUCUAAUCAUGAUUGUCCUUUCCAGCCAUUUUAUAUUCUUCUCCUUAAUAGAAUCUAACUUCCUGGAUAGUGGAGUCCACUUGAAAAUUCUUCCUGUGCUGAACCCAUUGACAAGGUAGGAAAUAUCCUGUAGAGGAAAGAACAGGAACUUUGGAGUCCUCAAGCUAGAAGUGCAUUAUAUGUAAUUAUAAACUGUAACCUAAGCCAAGUCUAAUUAGAGGAAGUUUCUUUCAGGAAGAAACUCUUCCCUCUAUCUUCCCCCUUUCUUUUCAAAUGACAUUUUUUUUUCUAUUUUUUUCAUAGGGAUUAAUAUACUCUGAUGAAAUUAAGCUCCCUAGAUAUGAAUCAGGAUUUGAAUGGGUAUGAUUCUGGGAAAUUUACUCACUUCCGUUUGCCUCAGUAUCCCCAAGUAUAAAACAGCUUUAAAAUUUGCCUUUAGCAUCAGUUAGCACCACUGUCCUUAGUUAAUAUCCUGAAUGUUUAAAAAAAUACUAUUCAGGCUAAAGUGCUUAAAACAAUGUCCUACAUAUAAUGAGUGCUUAAUCAACACUGGCUAUUAUUUUAUAAAAAAAAUUCUUUUGAUUAGUAUUCAAUUAAAUUUUCCUGGUUUUUCGCCAAGUAGACUUACACUUGGUUGAAUUUAGAACCAGCUUGCAGGCUGAAAACCAACAAUCUAGCAACAAAAUUUGUUUGGUCUACCUUGCACAGGACAUAGUUAUUGCUGGGAAAUAGCUGAGCCCCACACACUAUACUUUUCAGUCCUCUCCCCUUGCUUUCUAAUAGUGAGUUCUUGCAGAAGAGAAAUAAGCAGAAGUUAUAAGUGUCACUUCUAGUCCAACUAUGCCCCUCUCUCUUCUUCAUUCUUCUUUUACUGGAUUGAUGCUAAUAAGCACAGUGAUCUGAGAAGACACAUGUUAAAGAUACUAGGUCCAUUAGAUGGUUAGAAAGCCUGGGUCUCUGAUUUAGUGUCUUCAAAAAAGCAGUCUACCAAUCAACAAUAUCCAUAUUAGACUUUACAUGAGUGUCAAAUAAAACUCUCUCCUGUUGGAUCCAUUAUCUACUUUUUUUUCAGCAACUAGUAUCAUCCUAACAUGUUGCCAUUGGUAAGUUAGAGAGAAGAUGACUCAUCUUACCAAAAGUUAAUCAUUAAUUUAUAAAAAUAAAAAGAAGCACCAAGAAAAAAAUAUGUGGUGAUAUUUUCCUGUUUACAUGAUGUUUUUAUUUCAAGAAAAUUGUGUUAAGCUUGCAUAAUAGCCUGCCAGUUCUAAUCAUCCAUAAAUUUAAAUGUUCUGGGUUCAGGAGUGCAUGAUAGAGUAGAGACUCUGUGAAGUAAGGUCCUUAUUAAGAAGAUCCAGUUAUGGAGGAAGAAAAGCUUGGAGGAAAUGGUAAUUUAUCACUGUAACAAACACCAGAGGAAUUUUAAGUGAAGAAAUUGU